rnacentral:tRNA from 4 species
GGCUCAGUUGGUAGAGCGCACCCUUGGUAAGGGUGAGGUCCCCAGUUCGACUCUGGGUAUCAGCACCA